AUUGAACGCUGGCGGCAUGCCUUACACAUGCAAGUCGAACGGCAGCAUGGGGCAACCUGGUGGCGAGUGGCGAACGGGUGAGUAAUGCAUCGGAACGUACCUUUCAGUGGGAGAUAACGUAGCGAAAGUUACGCUAAUACCGCAUAUUCUGUGAGCAGGAAAGCAGGGGAUCGCAAGACCUUGCGCUGAUUGAGCGGCCGAUGUCAGAUUAGCUAGUUGGUGAAGUAAAGGCUCACCAAGGCGACGAUCUGUAGCGGGUCUGAGAGGAUGAUCCGCCACACUGGAACUGAGACACGGUCCAGACUCCUACGGGAGGCAGCAGUGGGGAAUUUUGGACAAUGGGGGCAACCCUGAUCCAGCCAUGCCGCGUGAGUGAAGAAGGCCUUCGGGUUGUAAAGCUCUUUCGGCCGGGAAGAAAUCGCACGGGCUAAUACCCUGUGUGGAUGACGGUACCGGAAUAAGAAGCACCGGCUAACUACGUGCCAGCCGCCGCGGUAACAC
rnacentral:rRNA from 1 species